CAGCGGGUUUACGACCUCGAUGUUGGAUCAGGGUAUCCCAGUGGUGCAGCCGCUACUAAAGGUUCGUUUGUUCAACGAUUAAAACCCUACGUGAUCUGAGUUCAGACCGGAGAUAAUCCAGGUCAGUUUCUAUCUAUAAAGAGCUCUUUCUAGUACGAAAGGACCGAAAAAGCAUGGCCCAUGUGUCUCACAAGCCAUAAAUGAUAAUUUUUGAUUUAAACUUAAUUAAUAUUCAAUCUUUAAUAUAGCUCAAGAAAAGAGC
rnacentral:rRNA from 1 species